rnacentral:lncRNA from 1 species
GAAGAAACGGUGUGGCUGCAACACAGGGGAAAGGGGCAAAUGGUGUAAAACAAGGCCAGUGGCAGGCAGGUGCCAGACGGCGUAAAACCCGAAGACUGUGUAAGAGCAGGCCAGCAUGGCUCUAAAGGCAAUAGGAUGACACCAUACGGUUUUAGAACCCGGACAGACGUGCUCCUAAUUUCAAGAUCACUUCUGCUGCUGUGAGAAUGGAGUAGUCCGGGAGUGAGGCGCGAGGACCCUCCCGCACUCACCAGGUCCGGCCGGUAGUACCUGUGCACCACCUCCGCGCCGGCGCACAUGGCCAGGAGACUGGCGGCGAACAUUUUCAGGGCCGCACCCACAGCAUAUUCCAUAUUCCCAAGCUAGGGGUUGAAUCAGAGGUGCAGCUGCCAGCCUAUACCACAGCUACAGCAACAUGGUAUCUGGGCCACGGCUUCAACCUACAACACAGCUCACAGCAAUGCUGGAUCCUUAAUCCACUGAGCAAGGCCAGGGAUCAAACCCACAUCCUCAUGGAUACUAGUCAGGUUUGUUACCACUGAGCCCCAGUGGGAACUCCGGUAUUUCAUAUUUUUUGAUGUUACUGUGAAUGGUAUUUUUUCUGAUGGUUUGUUGGUAGUAUAUAGGAUAUCACAAUUGAUUAUCCUUUACUGAUCUUUUAUUCUACAACUUUAUUAAACUCAUUUAUUCUAGUACCUUUUUUGUAGGUUUCAUAGGCUUUCCUACAUUAAACCAUACAAUGAACUCUGAAUAAAUACGGUAAGCUUUUUUUAUAGAUGUCAUUUAUCAAGUUAAGAAAGUUCCUUUCUGUUCCUAAACUGCUUAAAGUUUUCUUUAUCAGAAAUGGAUGUUGGACUUUGUCAAAUCCUUAAUCUGUAUCUAUUCAGGUGGUCAUAAGGGUUUUGAAAAAAUCGCUAAUAUGAUAAGUUACAUAGAAUGAUUUUUUCAAAUGUUAAGUUAGUCUUAUAUUACAAUCACUCCUCCACAUCCAUUGGUUCCACAGCCAGGGAUUCAACCAUUGAAAGUUAAAAAAAAAAAAAAGUCCAUAAAGUUCCAAAAAAAAAA